rfam:Triticum urartu cultivar G1812 contig1454171, whole genome shotgun sequence.
CAAGUACUCCCUCUAUCCUAAAAUUCUUGUCUUAAAUUUGUCUAAAUACGAAUGUAUCAAGUCAUAUUUUAAUAUUAGAUACACCAAUAUCUAAACUAUUUAGGACAAGAAUUUCGGGACGGAGGGAGUAGUGU